CAACUUUCAACAACGGAUCUCUUGGUUCUGGCAUCGAUGAAGAACGCAGCGAAAUGCGAUAAGUAGUGUGAAUUGCAGAAUUCAGUGAAUCAUCGAAUCUUUGAACGCACAUUGCGCCCUUUGGUAUUCCAAAGGGCAUGCCUGUUCGAGCGUCAU
rnacentral:rRNA from 18 species